rnacentral:rRNA from 1 species
AGUGAACGCUGGCGGUAGGCCUAACACAUGCAAGUCGAACGGCAGCACAGUACGAGCGUGCUCUUACGGGGGGCGAGUGGCGUGCGGGUGAGGAAUACAUCCGAAUCUACUCUUUCGUGUGGGUUAACGUAGGUAAACUUACUCUAAUACCGCAUACGACCUACGGGUGAAAGCAGUGGAACUUCGCACCUUGCGCGGUUGAAUGCGCCGCUGUCGGGUUUGCUAGUUGGCGGGGUAAUUGCCCACCAAGUCGCCGAUCCGUAGCUGGUGGGGGUGGAGGAUAGGCGGCAUUGGAACUUGGCCACGGUCCAGGCGACUACGGGAGGGAGCAGUGGGGAAUGUUGGACAAUGGGCGGAAGCCUGAUCCAGCCAUACCGCGUGGGUGAAGAAGGCCUUCGGGUUGUAAAGCCCGUUUGUUGGGAAAGAAAAGCAGCAGGUUAAUACCACGCUGUUCUGACGGUAACCAAAGAAUAAGCACCGGCUAACUACGUG